rfam:Arabidopsis thaliana chromosome 3, complete sequence.
UGAUGCGAUCAUACCAGCACUAAUGCACUUGAUCCUAUCAGAACACCACAGUUAAGCGUGUUUGGGCGAGAGUAGUACUAGGACGGGUGACCUCCAGGAAAGUCCUCGUGUUACAUAAC